UGCCAGCAGCCGCGGUAAUACGGAGGGUCCAAGCGUUAUCCGGAAUCAUUGGGUUUAAAGGGUCCGUAGGCGGGCAAUUAAGUCAGAGGUGAAAUCCCACAGCUCAACUGUGGAACUGCCUUUGAUACUGGUUGUCUUGAGUUAUAUUGAAGUGAGUAGAAUAUGUAGUGUAGCGGUGAAAUGCUUAGAUAUUACAUAGAAUACCGAUUGCGAAGGCAGCUCACUAAGUAUAUACUGACGCUGAUGGACGAAAGCGUGGGGAGCGAACAGGAUUAGAUA
rnacentral:rRNA from 1 species